CUGGGUGUCGUCGUUUUCUCCGAGAGCUGCCUCUCAUCCUUCGGGGUGCAUUGCCUGUAGCGUUCUGUGUAGCGUUGUUCUGUGUGUGUCUUGGAGCCGCCCUGCCCGGGGAUGGAGAGUCAGGGCAAGGUGGGUGGUGCUGGCAUCUAGGGAUGCGCCCAGGCUUUGAGCGGGGAGGAGUUUUGCAGCCGUCUUGGAUCAAGUGGCUGUUGUCGGUGGGUGAGGGAAGUAAAUCCUGUUGGGUUUUGUGGGCUGGCCCCCAGGGAACAACCGUAGGUGUCUGGGAGAGGGAGCUGGAGUCUUAGCUGAGCAGGUAGCAUGUCAAGGGUGUUGUGGUUUGUCUGUGUGCUGGGCUUAAUGUUUGAUGUAUUGUGCUUAUGUUUAGGAGCCGCCCUAGUUGGGCUCUCAAGGGGGUGUUCCUACAUGCGAUCGAGACCCGUGUCGUGGUUAAGCUGUGGCCGUGCAUGCAGGUGACUUGUUUGACAUCGGUUUGGCAGGUGCCGAGGGAGGAGUCGUGCAGGGUGAUGGAGGGCGGCGCUGUCAGCAGGAGCCGAGCGGGAUCUGGGCACUGGAGGGGAAUCGCACAGGGUGGUGGGCGAGCCUCCAGAGGGCCACUGGAUCUGAUGGAGGCCGGGCAGGUGAGCUGUCGAGGAACAGGUGCCGCCCGCAGGCUUCGGAGGGGAGACGCCGC